rnacentral:tRNA from 1 species
GGAAGCGUGCCUGAAACAUAAGGACUACUUUGAUAAAGCAGACAUGGAACUAAAUUAUUCCCACUUCC